rnacentral:rRNA from 1 species
AAUAGAUACCCAGGUAGUCCACGCCGUAAACGAUGAGUGCUAAGUGUUAGAGGGUUUCCGCCCUUUAGUGCUGCAGCAAACGCAUUAAGCACUCCGCCUGGGGAGUACGACCGCAAGGUUGAAACUCAAAGAAAUUGACGGGGGCCCGCACAAGCGGUGGAGCAUGUGGUUUAAUUCGAAGCAACGCGAAGAACCUUACCAGGUCUUGACAUCCUCUGACAAUCCUAGAGAUAGGACUUUCCCCUUCGGGGGACAGAGUGACAGGUGGUGCAUGGUUGUCGUCAGCUCGUGUCGUGAGAUGUUGGGUUAAGUCCCGCAACGAGCGCAACCCUUGAUCUUAGUUGCCAGCAUUUAGUUGGGCACUCUAAGGUGACUGCCGGUGACAAACCGGAGGAAGGUGGGGAUGACGUCAAAUCAUCAUGCCCCUUAUGACCUGGGCUACACACGUGCUACAAUGGAUGGUACAAAGGGCUGCAAGACCGCGAGGUUUAGCCAAUCCCAUAAAACCAUUCUCAGUUCGGA